rnacentral:lncRNA from 1 species
UUAUGAUAUCAGGGUCAUAUCAAUACGAUCCUAUAAUGAAACUCAUUUCUUUCUUCUUCCUUGGUAGGAUGAGGACGUGCAAAGGCUGAAGGUUCAGAAGAGCGACUCCGUAGCGCGGCGAUGGUCUGAGGGUAUGCUCCUGGAUGAUGAAGAAGAGGGUAUGAAGAAGGGGACGAGCGACGGUGACAUUAAGAAAGAAAAGAAAAACAAAUUGGAAAUCAAGUUUGUUCCUCGGAGGGGUUUCGCCAUCAGCAGAGUGGCGGUAAAGGACUCUGUCUAAAUCAGAAUUUAAUUUAUUCUUCCUUAAUUGUGCUUUGUGAUGU